rnacentral:rRNA from 1 species
UACGUAGGGGGCAAGCGUUGUCCGGAAUCAUUGGCCGUAAAGAGCGUGUAGGCGGUUCGGUAAGUCGGCUGUGAAAGUCCAGGGCUCAACCCUGGGAUGCCGGUCGAUACUGCCGGACUAGAGUUCGGAAGAGGCGAGUGGAAUUCCCGGUGUAGCGGUGAAAUGCGCAGAUAUCGGGAGGAACACCUAUGGCGAAGGCAGCUCGCUGGGACGUUACUGACGCUGAGACGCGAAAGCGUGGGGAGCAAACAGG